GUACAGUAAACUGCUGUUGCUGUAGCCUGUGAAGCCUGGCCAGGAUCUUAAGACAAAGAUAUGUAAGCAGGCAAAAGGGCAGGAGAGUGGAUGGUAGGCAAAGAUGAAUCAGCACUGGUUGCAAAGUGGCAGUUUUGUAGCUUUUACUGCCUGUGUCUCUGUGGUCCACAGGAGAAAGAAGUCUGUGAAGGAAAAGUUCCACACCAGGUUCCGAGGGAGAUGGAAGAAAGGCUGCCUAAACAACUGCCUCCUCCCAAAAUGUCCCAGAAUUCACCACCGCAUGGCUACGGAGUAUAUACAGCAGUGGUAACAACAGNAAAGUUACAUUGGAAGGAAGAAAACCUCUUCUGGGACUCCGAGCUGGAAGACGAAUGCUGUUGUUGUCAGUGCUGUGAAGUGCUGACCAGAAUGAAGAAUGACCUGCUCCCAGGCAUGAGGAAACCCUCAGAACCAUAAAAUAAAAGUUCUCCGGCAUGGCA
rnacentral:lncRNA from 1 species